AAUCCGAUAAAGGGCU
rnacentral:tRNA from 12 species